GAGAAUGAAAGUGGGAGAAAUGGUUUACUUGUUUUGGAAUCUUUAACUAUACGCUCAUUGUGGGUGGAUACUCAUAUUAAGUAACUAGUCUGGCUUUUAUUUUCAAGUUCACUCUUCAAAUCUUUAUUCAGAUUCCUUUCUUCUAAAAUUGACAGUACAGAGGGAACAUCAUACAGAUAUUAAAACUAAGCAGAAUGCAUCCAUCUGGCAUGCCUUUCAGGAAUCCAGCCCACUAAUUUUUGCUAUGGGUUUGAUGACUCAACCCCCUAAGAUGCAGCACAGGGAAGAAUUUCCUCAUUUUGCAGAACUGCCAAAUCUCAUUCAUUGGAGAGAAGGCUCCUCACUUGGGGCUCAUUUUUAGACAGUUGUUUCUCUGUUUAAAUAUUUUUAAAGAUCUCCCUCAGCAGAAGGAGUUUGUCAUGAUUUUCUAAAUAGCGAGUAAACAUACUCCUCCUCGCAUCCCCCAUGAUGCUUCAGCCUUCUGGCCAUUGAGCCUAGCUUUAUUAUUUUUCUUCUCUCCUUCCGCCUUUUUUUUUUUUUUUUUUCACCUCAGCUACAUCUCUUGGCUUCAUCUGUUCCUUGGAGGCUACAAUGUCUUUUCUUCCAUUGGGACAUUUGUCUAACUUACUAAUUUUUUACAAAAAAAAUUUGUCUAAUUUUUUACUUGAAAAAAAUCCUCGCUUUAUUUUUGUCUUCUUCCUUUUAAAGCUGUUCAUCUAGGCCCCUCUUCACUUAUCCUCCACCUUCAUUUUUAAAUCCUAAUAAUUAACUUCUAGUUAGUGCAUAGCGCAGGCGCGAAGCCAAGCACCCUCCCAGCAUCCCCUCUCCCGAGGGAGGUACCUUUAUUAUCCUCCUGGACAGAGGGGAAACAAACGCACAGAAUUCAAGGAAUUUGCAGAAGGUCCUACAGCUGGGAGCGCCGAGGCUGAGCAUUAGACCCAACCAUCUGGCUAAAAGAAAAGUCUUUAAAAAGUUUUAUUAGAUACAAAGAAUAUUUGGAAAAUAUACGCAAAUGAUAAAAGAAGCGGAUCUCUCUCCCACCAUGGGUCAAGUUUUCCAGUUUUGUCCACUUUAGAAAGCAUCCUUUCCCUAGUUUCGAGCUUCUGGCCGUUGAACACGGCUGCUGGAGCCCCUCUCCCCACUGCGCUCGGCAAACGUGUCUUUUAUUAUGACUCAGCCCAGGCCGCUCCUUGCCAAGCGGCUGACGCUCGCGGCGGAGGGGCCGGGGCCGGCGCUCGGGGGCGAGGGCAGGCGCGCGCUCCGCCCGCUUUACGGCUGCUGAAAACCUGGCCCGCGCCCGGCAGCCGUACCGCAGACGAGCCCGCGCCCGCGCCGCUCAGAUCUCCCAGCUGGACACUGGAAAUAGCUUUUGAUGGUUUAGGGCCUCUUCCAUUUGACCCCAGUUGCUGCUGGUACGGAAUCCAGAGAGGUGAACAGAUUUCCCCUUCCUAAUAAUACAACCAUAGCCGCAGCAGCUGUGACUGAGGAGAAAGCAGAUCUAACAUCUCUUCAAGAGGGGACCCCCGAUUCAACAGACUUGUUCAUUAUCUGAAGGCUGUGAAGGAGAUUCACAGACUAAGAACCUUGGCAGAUCCUCUGGGGAUAGACAAACUAAAAGAUAAUAACAAUUUUCUUGUCAAUCAUGAGAUGGAUAAGGCUCCAGGAGCCUUCAGUCUUCUGAGAAUAGGGGCACAAACUAUAUUCUUUUUCAACCUAGCCUUCUGUAUAUAUUUUCUUGGUUCCUAAGAGGGAGAAGGGUGAAUGGGAAAUUGUGUUUAGAUUAGCUGGACAAAUAGAAAAGAGCAGUCCAUGACAGCUAAAAUCACAACAGACUACAAAAUAUUUCCCAAUUCAUGGUUCUACAGCAGCAUGUUAGUAUGAGCAUUCAGUAUAACUGUCUGCCGUAGCAUAGUGAGUUCAGAGACAGCGCUGUUGUCUUAGCUGAAGGAAAACUUGUCGUUUGAAGUUGGUAGCACAGCUGAUUGCAUGGAGCAUGGAAAUGAAAACAUCCCGACAUCUUUCUUACAGGGCACCUGAUGCUUGGAUGAGUUAAAUGGAACAAGACAGAGAUGCAAAGGUCACAUUGCACACUUAAGGACCCUUGGAGUAUUUUGGUUACUCUCUCAGGACUUGCUUUAAUAUAACACAUUUGGUACUUUUUUCUUCUUUUUCAGAAAGUUCAGUCUUAAUAGUCAUGAGUUUCAAAUUCUUAAGUCAGAAUAAAAUGUUAGCACAAACCAUC